rnacentral:rRNA from 1 species
AGAUUGAACGCUAGCGGGAUGCUUUACACAUGCAAGUCGAACGGCAGCGCGGACUUCGGUCUGGCGGCGAGUGGCGAACGGGUGAGUAAUAUAUCGGAACGUGCCCAGUAGCGGGGGGAUAACUACGCGAAAGCGUGGCUAAUACCGCAUACGCCCUACGGGGGAAAGGGGGGGAUCGCAAGACCUCUCACUAUUGGGGCGGCCGAUAUCAGAUUAGCUAGUUGGUGAGGUAAAGGCUCACCAAGGCGACGAUCUGUAGCUGGUUUGAGAGGACGACCAGCCACACUGGGACUGAGACACGGCCCAGACUCCUACGGGAG